rnacentral:misc_RNA from 1 species
GAUGAAGAACGCAGCGAAAUGCGAUAAGUAAUGUGAAUUGCAGAAUUCAGUGAAUCAUCGAAUCUUUGAACGCAUCUUGCGCUCCUUGGUAUUCUGAGGAGCAUGCCUGUUUGAGUGUCAUUAAAUUCUCAACUACACUGACUUUGAAUUGGUGUGGCUUGGAUUUGGGGGGAAAAUUGUUGUGGGCUUUUGUAUAGUCUGCUCCCCUGAAAUUGAUUAGCGGUACCUUUGUGGAACUGUCUACAGGUGUGAUAAUUAUCUACAUCUUAGACAUCUGCUGGAAUGCUGCUUUCUAAACCUUACUUGUAUUGACAAUCUUGACCUCAAAUCAGGUAGGACUACCCGCUGAACUUAAGCAUAUCAAUAAGCGGAGGA